rnacentral:rRNA from 1 species
UCAUUUAGAGGAAGGAGAAGUACCGGCCCAGUUUCGGUUGGAUCAUACGCAUAGCUUCCGGAUAUCACCAAACCCCGGCACGAAAAGUGUCAAGGAACAUUCAACUAAACGGCCUGCUUUCGCCAACCCGGAGACGGUGUUUGUUCGGAAGCAGUGCUGCAAUGUAAAGUCUAAAACGACUCUCGGCAACGGAUAUCUCGGCUCUCGCAUCGAUGAAGAACGUAGCGAAAUGCGAUACUUGGUGUGAAUUGCAGAAUCCCGUGAACCAUCGAGUCUUUGAACGCAAGUUGCGCCCCAAGCCUUCUGGCCGAGGGCACGUCUGCCUGGGUGUCACAAAUCGUCGUCCCCCCAUCCUCUCGAGGAUAUCGGACGGAAGCUGGUCUCCCGUGUGUUACCGCACGCGGUUGGCCAAAAUCCUAGCUAAGGAUGCCAGGAGCGUCUUGACAUGCGGUGGUGAAUUCAAUUCUCGUCAAAUCGUCAGUCGUUUCGGUCCGAAAGCUCUUGAUGACCCAAAGUCCUCAACGCGACCCCAGGUCAGGCGGGAUCACCCGCUGAG